GUGUUCACUUUGUUAGCACAUAUACUACAACCAGAAUGACACAGAGAAGAUUAGCAUAGCCUAUGUGCAAGAAAAAAAAAAAAAAAGGAGAAUAAUAAAGGUGACUG